AUUGAACGCUGGCGGCAGGCCUAACACAUGCAAGUCGAACGGUAACAGGAAGAAGCUUGCUUCUUUGCUGACGAGUGGCGGACGGGUGAGUAAUGUCUGGGAAACUGCCUGAUGGAGGGGGAUAACUACUGGAAACGGUAGCUAAUACCGCAUAACGUCGCAAGCCCAAGAGGGGGGACCUUCGGGCCUCUUGCCUCCGAUGUGCCCAGGAGGGGUUUGCUAGUAGGUGGGGGAACGGCUCACCUAGGGGACGAUCCCUAGCUGGUCUGAAAGGAUGACCAGCCACCCUGGAACUGAGACACGGUCCAGACUCCUACGGGAGGCAGCAGUGGGGAAUAUUGCACAAUGGGCGCAAGCCUGAUGCAGCCAUGCCGCGUGUAUGAAGAAGGCCUUCGGGUUGUAAAGUACUUUCAGCGGGGAGGAAGGGAGUAAAGUUAAUACCUUUACUCAUUGACGUUACCCGCAGAAGAAGCACCGGCUAACUCCGU
rnacentral:rRNA from 1 species